AAGGGGAACUUAUAAUAAGAUCAAGUCCAAGAAGAUUGGUCCAUGCCGACUCAAGAGGAAGUUGGGUAACAAUGCAUAUAAAAUUGAGUUGCUAGAAGACUAAGAUAUCUUAUCGACUUCCACUGUGGUGGAUUCAUUCGAGUACCAAGGCGAGGCAUCUAAUGCGUAAGAUGAAGCCAUUACUGAUAUGGAUAAACAACUCGGGAAGAAAAAGAAGGAAAAAGUUGAACAAAUAUUGCGAAUGAAGACUGCUAACACUCGACGGGGCCAAUACAGGCAAUAUUUGGUGAAAUGGAAGAACAAACCCUAUUAUGAAUGCACAUGAAUCAUGAGCGAUGAAUUGAAAAGAUUAUUUCUGAUUGUCUACUACUUGUAUGAAGUGUCCAACUCGUUGGAGUCGGUUUCUUUCCAGACCAAGGGGAAUGAUAUAAGACCAUUGUAUGGCCCAACAAGAUGUAAGCCCAUAGCACACCAUAGGCCUAACAUUUGCUGAUUUUUCGGACUUUAUUUACAGAAUUGGGGGCCUAAAUCAAGGAUUGUAAUUCAUUACUUUUGGGAGAUAUGGAGGGCUUAUUAAAGAUGUGAUUGAUAUAAUUGAAGAUAUGGGUUGAUUUAGAGAUAUAAUUACUUUCUAUGUUUGCUCUUUAUUAUUAGGUUUUUACCAUAUUAAGGAAGAUUAGAUUGGUUUCAAAUAAAUUGUGAUUGUUUGAAAUCAAUCUCUUAAUUGGGGGGAUUUUAAUUAAUGGUUCAUUUAUGAUCUAUAAAAGGGGGUGGUGGUAUAGGAAGUAGUCAUUUGAAUAUUUUUCUUUGUGUGGGUUUUCUUAAAGUUUUUUGAAGUGAAGGUUGAUAUCAAUUAAGUUCUCUCCUUCUCUUCUCAAUAGCCGGGUUGCUCCAUCCUUCCAAGGUAAUUUUCUUUUUUAAAGAUGUGAUGGGUCUACACUUGGGGGAUCCUCUCUCUUCAUUAAUUCCUCUUUGUAGUGGUUUCCCAGGUCGGAUGAUUGUAAAAGUGAAUGUGGUUUACUUAAAUGGUUGAGAAUGGAGAAAGCAAAUCCUCAAAUCUCUGAUCUUUGUUAUUGAGAAGAAACAAAUCUUUGGGGUGCAAAUACUCGAAGGAUAAUACACGAAAGGUGAUUUGAUGUUUUGUAGCAGUUUUAGGUUUAGAGAUCAUGGCUUUUAUUGAAAUCAUAAUAUCUUGGCAUAUUAAUCAAACUCAUUAUCGCUAUGUAAGUGUGAGAGAAUACAAUUUGAAAAUAGUGCAAUCAUGCAAGUGCUAUUUGAGAUAGAAGUAAUGUGGGCUUGAUCAAUUAUCUAUACCCGUUGGAGUUUUUCAUCCCCUGCAUGCUUUUGCCAAUCUUUCAUUAGGUAUUGACACAAACCAGCACAUAAGCUACACGUGCACAUGCUCACACACGCACAUAUUGGUGAGAAAGGAGUACCAUGGAAUCUAUCUCCUGCGGUCUACCAUACUAUUGUGAACUAUGUAAAUCAGUGUACCCUAGACUACCAUACUAAAAGGUAAUUAUUUCAUUUUAUGUAAUAGCUGUAAGAUUCCUACAAUAGAUGUGUUUUGUUCUCUAAGAAGGGGAACACCUCCCUCUCUUAAUGCAAUGAAGUUAUUCUCUUCUAAAUUCCCAUUAUGCUCUUCGGAGUCUUAUUGUCUCAAUCCAAAUGUCCCAUUCUUUUCUUGUUACACACACAAACACCAUUGUUCUUUCAUUAGUUAAUGUCUUAAUGACCCACCCAGCUACACACUCACUGUUGCUUCAUUAAUUAAUGACACAGGCAUGAACACAUGCACAUUUGCAUGAAAUUUACGAGAAUUAUAACUUGUUAUUUAGUUCCACAUUCAUUGGUAACUAAUAUAUCUCGUGCAGGAUUUUCGUGGGCAUAUUUUUGAGAAUGAAUGUUUUGCAACCAGCGAAGAUAGGGUCGCUCCAUGGCAUUCUACACCAUGCUGAUUAUGUUGCAGCUUUUGAGAGGGAGGGAGGGAGGGGGAAAAGGGGAUUGGAGAAAAGAUAGGGUUAGAGAGCUCAUCUCCAUCGAGCUUCUUAUCUACAAGUUCCAAUAUAAAGUUGAUGGUUCAAGUUUCAUGAUAUUGACUGUGCUGUCUACCCAUAGGUCGUAAGAGGAGCGUCAUUGAUUCUUAAUUGGCUGCAAGGUGAAACUGAGGUGAUUCCCUGUAGACUUGGAUCUUGAUUGGUCCAUCAGCUUUGGCGUACCCUUUAUUUUGAUUAGCAUACUUUGCAUUCCGGGCAUACAACAUUGAGAGUAGAUUUGAUAGUUUCAGUCGACUCCAAAUUGCCAUUAGUUGUGGCUAUAAAGGUAUUAGGUUUUUGGUGAUGUCACAUAUUGGAGUUUAUGGUUGGUUGGACUGGGGAAUCUCGUACUUAUUGUAAAUAUUAUAUCUUUACUGGGAUUCUAAAUAUUUGUUGUUUGGAUUUCAUAAAAAAGGGUAUCUUGUCUAUAUAGGUGGAUGAAUUUGUGCAUGGAACUUUU